rnacentral:rRNA from 1 species
GACGAACCGAGCGAACGUUAUUCGGAAUCACUGGGCUUAAAGGGCGCGUAGGCGGGCCGUCAAGUCGAGGGUGAAAUCCCCCAGCUCAACUGGGGAAGUGCCUCCGAUACUGGCGGCCUCGAGGGGGAUAGGGGCAUGCGGAACUUCCGGUGGAGCGGUGAAAUGCGUAGAUAUCAGGAGGAACACCAAUAGCGAAGGCAGCUCGCUGGGACGGUACUGACGCUAAGGCGCGAAAGCGUGGGGAGCGAACGAGG